rnacentral:lncRNA from 1 species
CGAGGGAGGCUGAUACCAGCUAGUGAUUCAAGAACACUAGAUUUCCCUGAAGAUUGAUCACCAACAACAACAAUGGUGGGGAGUUGUAUGCCUUCUUUCAUGACCUGGAGAUGCCUAAGCUUGUCAACCGCAUCAAGCAGAGGUCGAAUACGUUCAUUGAAUGAUGAUACGAUGGGGACAUGCCUGACUACCAGCUCUUGAUGCUUUUCUUCAAUGCUCUGUGGAAGUGAUUCCACUUGGUUUUCCGAGCUAUUCGACAUUUCUUCACUCACUGAACCCGAAUGAUUAAGCACUACACUCAUUUUGUUGACAGGGAGAAACUUCGAAUAAUUGCCUUGGUAUUUUUUAAUUUGUUAUGCUUCAAAUGAAGAGGGCUAAGUGAGCAUUUAAUGUGAGCCAGGUGGAUGUGAAAUAGUGUGGACUCGUUUGAAUCUUUCUUUUUGCAAAGACUAGAAUCGUUUGAAAAGCUUAACGAGGAAGGAGAUGAUCCGUACUAGGUUGGUUCCUUUCAAAUGAGUGGCCUUCCCAUCGAAUAUUUAAAAGAGGUUUACAACCUUGCGUCUUCUUUUCUGGUCCUCAAGCAUGGAUGACUCUCCUUCUCUUGGAAGUUGUCACCGAAAUAACUGUCCAAUCUACGAAAAAAGUUAUAUAUAUAUAUAUUCAUUCUUUAUGUCACGACCCGAAUCCCGGGUCCAUGACCGGCAACGCAGGAGCGGUGUCGAAAGGACACCUCACCUGCGCUAAGCCUCAGAACGGACAUAUCAAAAGAACAAUUUGUUCAAAAAUACGCAGCGGCUCAUAAUAUUCAGAAAUAUUAUAUUAUUCAAAUACUGAUUACAAAUUUAAAACAAAAAUAAUAAUUCAUAAUACUUAUUACAUUGUCAAAAUCCAAAUUUAAUUAAACCAAGGUAACAGUGGAGCGUUUAAGACAUCAAAUCAAACUUGAAAGGAAAACCUCGCGGACAAGCAAGGCAUACCGACCAGAACUGAAGAAGCAGAAACACUCAACAAAGUCCAACUGCUAUCAGAAACUAAGAACCUGAAAUAAUAUUAAAAAAUGAGAGGUGAGUUCAACCAACUCAGUGAGGGAAUAACAUUUAAUAUACAUUUUAGAUAUUUCAGAUAUUAAUAAGUUGUAAGAUGAUUUAUCUUAAUAUACAUAUACAUAUACAUAUACUUACUAAACAUAUUAUCAUAACGUAACAUAUUAUCAUAACGUAGUGGAUUACAUGUCAGAGAUCAGAUGACACCCGAAGGUGACCAGAUGACACCCGUCGGUGACCAGAUGACACCCGUCGGUGACCACUGUGGGAUGAUCAAUCACCACAGGCUGAUGCCUCUCUCACCAGCUAGGUAACAGAAUACUAUGUGCACACAGGCUAACUAUUCUCCGUUAGCAUGGAGUUACUGACAAGUCCCAUAUCAAGGCAUAAUAGAUAUUCACAGAAUCAUCAAAGAAACGUAUAUCAUAUCAAAUAGAAUUUACUUUAUCAGAUUGCGAGUGCAAAUUCAAUAAUAAAUUAGUACUCGGAAAAUAAAGGAACAUAUAUAAAUAUUCAAGAAAUUUACUAGUUGUACUCAUUGUAUAAUCAACAUACAUAUUUAUUUAUAUUAUAUGCAUAUUAAAGAUUAUUCCACUCACCCGGAAAAUACUGAACUAAAGGAAUGUCAGACAAAAGACCCGAAAAUCCAAUUAAGGAUCGUUAGGAGAACCUACAAUAAAUUAAUGAAAUAUACUCAAAAACAGAUCAAACAAAAGAUCCCAAAGCAUAAAAUAAACCGGGCUUAAUCUCCCAAGUUUAGGGACUAAAACGACAAUUUUCCAAAACAGGGACCAAAACGUAAUUUUACCAAAAUUUGAGGAACGAAUUGUAAAUAUAUAACCAUACUGAAAUUUAUCCAUAAUUCAUCCUUGUCUUUGUCCAGAAUCUUGAAUUAUGCCCCAAGGUCCAAAAUGUGAUUUUAUCAAAAUAUUAGGGGUCAAAUCGUAAUUUGUCAAAUUGGAGGACCAAACUGAAAAUAUCAAUUAUACUGGAAUUUUGCCUUUAAAUCAUCCUCAGUUCUGUUCAGAACCUCAAUUGAUGUCCCAGGGACCAAUCUGUAAUAUUUCCAAAGUUCAGGGACUAAACUGCAAUUUCCAUAAAUUGAGGGACCAAACUGAAUUUUCGUCAUCUUCAACCUCAAACCCAGAAUUUUAACAGAUCACCUACUGUUAUCCCUUGAUUUCUAUCACAAUUUCACCAUUUAAACAAAAUCAUAACUCAAAAUCAUUAUCCUUCAAUUCAAUCUCUCAAAAUCAACUAAUUAAUCAAAUACCCACAAUAAUCAACUCCUAACCUUCAAAUUAAUUCAUCAAUUAACUCAAAAUACAAACUUCAAAACUCUAAAAUUAAUAAAAACCGAAAUUUAACAUAUUAUACACUUCAAACCAUAAAUCUUACCUUUUUAAAACUUAUUUCCUCUACUUCUCUUCUCCUUCCCUUCCUUCUCUCCUUUCUUUUCUUCUUCUUCCUGUUUUACUUUCUCUCCCGUAGCUCUCUUUCUCUCAAAAUCAGAUCAUUCUUUUUUUUUUCUUCUUCUUAUUUAUAUUUAUCAACUAUUGUUCAAUUACCACACUAACCUUCAAUCAUUUAUACCCUCUUUUUAAGCCACCAAGGGCUUUAUUGUAUUUUCCAAUCUUUUUAAUACAAAACAUCACACUUUAUUGACUAGUUUAUAGUGUAAUUAAUAUUUUUUUUAUAAAAAAUAUUAUAAUUUAGAUAUUAUUAGUUAGGUGGCCCGUGGUACGUCGAGGAUCAACUUUUUAUUUUCAUAAAAAAUAUAAGACUAAAAGUGUUGAAUCUGACUACAAUACUGGACAAAAGAGCUUCAAGUCUAUUUAAUUUAUUUAUUCAAAUUCUUAUAUUUUUUAAAAUUUAUUAAUGAUAAUAAUAACAAUAAUAAUAAUUUUUAAUUUUAGCCUGCAAAUCAAAUCUAAAAUUGUUUUUUAAUAUUGAUAAUAAUUGUUUUUCAAAUUUAUUAAUGAUAAUAAUAACAAUAAUAAUAAUUUUUAAUUUUAGCCUGCAAAUCAAAUCUAAAGUUGUUUUUUAAUAUUGAUAAUAAUUGUUUUUCAAAUUUAUUAAUUAUUUUAUAAAUAAUAUUAAUUAUAAUAAAAAUAAUAAUAUUUAUAAUACAAAUAAUAAUAAUUUUUAUAUUAAUACUUUUUCAAUAUUGAUAAUAAUUUUUUGCAAAAACUAAAGAUCCACUUAAUUUCUUUUUCCAAAAACGAGAAUCGUUUGAAAAGCUAACGAGGAAGGAGAUGAUCCGUACUAGGUUGGUUUCUUUCAGAUGAGUGGCCUUCCCAUCGAAUAUUUAAAACAGGUUUACAACCUUGCGUCUUCUUUUCUGGUCCUUAAGCAUGGAUGGCUCUCCUUCUAUUGGAAGUUGUCACCGAAAUAACUUUGGUCCAACCUACGAAAAAGGUUAUAUAUAUAUAUAUAUAUAUAUAUAUAUAUAUAUAUAUAUAUAGUUUAACAUAAUCUUCAUUGACUAGUUUUUCAGUUUAAUUAAUAUAUUUUAUAAAAAAUAUUUUAAUUUAGAUAUUACUAGUUAGGUGACUCGUGCUACGUUGCGGAUCAAUUUUUUAUUUUUAUAAAAAAUAUAAAAAAAUAUAAGACUAAAAGUGUUAGGUCUGACUGCAACACUGGAUCAAAGAGCUUCGAGUUAUUUAACUUAUCUACUCAAUUUCUUAUAUUUUUUAAUCUUUUUUUUUAAGGUUUUUCUUUAAUAGUAAUACUAAUAUUUUUUAGAGAGUGUUUGGUAUUACAGUAGCUGUUGUGGUUGUGGUUUGAAAAAAAUUGUUUUAUAAAAAAUACUUUUAGUUGAGGUUGUUUUAAAAAAAUAGGUGUUUGGUUAAAACUGUGGUUGAAAUUAAGAUUGAAGAAAAAGUAAUUUAAUAUGUUUGGUUAAUAAUGCUUUUGAAAUUGAGGUUAUAUAUAUAUAUAUAUAUAUAUAUAUAUAUAUAUUGAUGGUUUUAAAUUUAAAUAUUGUAGAAUUAAUUACUCCUAUUACAUCAUAAAAUAAAUAAUACUUUAUAUACAAUAUUUUUUAUUAUUCCAUUAAACUAUUUAUAAUUCUAUUACGUACAAAAUUCAUCUGAUAAGAACUACAGUUUUCAUACUUUUUUGAGCUUGUAAUAAAAUUAGAUAAAAUAUUAUCAGGUACAAAAUUGAUAUUACAGUGCGAGUAAAUUUAAUUCACUCUAUAUUAGUUUUUCAAGAAAAAAAAUUGUUCACAUUACAGUGUGAGUGAAUUUAAUUCACUUUAAAAUAGUUUUUUUUAAAAAAAAAAACACUGUUAAAAAAUUAACAAAUUGAAAAAAAAAGUUCAUGUAAUUGCACUGUUCACUGAAUAAUGCAAUUAUAGUGUAAUAACUGUUAAAAAAUAACACACCAAAAAAAAAGUGUUCAUGUAAUUGCACUGUUCACUGAACAGUGCAAUGUACUGAUGUAUACUGAUCAUGCUAAUUGCAGUGUUUAGUGAACAAUGCACUUAGCAUGAAUAGUUUUUGAAAAGCAUGAAUUCUUUGCUUACUAAAAAUCGAGUUCCUGCCGCAAAUAAAUAAAGGGACCCAUGUUAUUUAUUUUUUAACAAUCCAUAACCAAACGGCUAAUUAGUGUGUUUUUUAAGAAACGCCAAUGCAAACGCGUAGACAAAUGGGUUCUUAAAAUUUAUUAAUGAUAACAACAACAACAACAACAAUAAUUCUUGAUUUUACCCUUCAAAUCAAAUCUAAGGUUGUUUUUCAAUAUUGAUAAUAAUUAUUUUUCAAAUUUAUUAAUUAUUUUAUACAUAAUAUUAAUUAUAAUAAAAAUAAUAAUAUUUAUAAUAUAAAUAAUAAUAAUUUGUAUAUUAAUACUUUUAUUAUAAUAAAAAUAACAAUAUUUAUAACACAAAUAAUAAUAUUUAGAAACCUAAGACCUAAGAACUAAGAACCUUGGGUCCUAAAGCAGGACCCAUUUUGAUUGGGUCCAGAGGUAGGACCCAAUCAUAAUGGGUCCAGACACAGGACCCAUCAUCCUUGGGUCUUCACAUAGAACCCAAAAUAAUUGAGUGCGGAGGCAAGACCCAAUCAAAAUGGAUCUUAACGCAGAACCUAAGAAAAUUGGGUUUAGAGGCAUGACCAAUUUCCUUUGAGUCUUGACACAGGACCAGAAUUAGAUCCGGACUCAGGACCCAUUAGUCUUGGGUUUGGACAUAGGACCUAAGAGAAUUGGAUCCGGACCAAAUGUUUUUAGGUCCCCAAUCUUAUUAGGUCCUAGUGUGCAGCUAGACCCAAAGCUAUUUUGAAUCCUGCCCCCACAGGACCCAACUCUAAUAGAUCUUACUAGGGGUAGGAUCCAAUAUAUGAUUUAUUUAUGUAUUUAAUAAUACAUAUAAUUCAAAACUAUUGAAUAAAACAUUGAUAAAACUUUGAAUCUCAUUUACUAAUGUUAUAAAAUUAAAAUAUCUUUUAUUACCCAAAAUAAUAUUAUAUUAUAAUAUUUCUAAAUUAUUUUUAAUGGAUUAUAUUGUUAAAAAUUCUCUUAUAUAAUACAAAUAUAUAAAAUAUAUGAUGUGAAUAUAAAAUUUAUUGAGAGCUCUAUCAACUUUAAUAUGAUAAUAUUAGAGAAAAAAAUAAAAUAAAAUUUAAAUUUUUAUAAAAAAAAUUACAUAAAAGAAAAUAAUUUUUUUUUUAAAGCAAUAGGUCUUGCUAGGGGAGGACCUAAAGGAGCCAAGGCUGACGGGUCUAGCCGCACCACGACCCAAACACGACUGGGGGCGUUGCCUUCUCUGUCAAAAGCUGUUGGUUUUGGCUUGGCAGCUAGACCCAAAACACUUCCAAAAGGUCUAAUAGUGUUGGGCUUGGCUAGCCAGCCAUAUCCACACCACUUCAAAAAGGUGCAAUCUUGGGUUUGGUAGUGCAGCCAUACAUAAGGAUAUUAGGUCUGAGAUUUUUUGUUUAUUUCUCUCAUUUAAAUUUAUUUUUCAUACAAUAAAGAGGAAAUAAAUUGAUUAGAGUUUUUUUAUAUUCUACAAAAAUUAGAUGAUGAUAAGUUUUUUUUUUGGUUUGAGGUUAGGUUGAAUUUUCUUAUUAAAAUAUGUUUGUUUUUGUUUUUCAAAAAUGCUUUGAAAAACAAUUAGACUAUUUUUUUUUCUUUAUUUCAAAUUAAUAUUUUUCCUUAAUUCAUAUUAAGAUGUUUUUGUAUUAUUUUGAUUUGAUUAUAUAAAAAAUAGAUUUAAAAAAAUAAAAAAAUAUUAUCUCAAUAUAUAUUUUUUAAAAAAUAUUUUAAGAUAUUUCCAAUUUUCUUUUUUUCUCUCUUCAAUUUUUUUUUCUUUUCUCUUGUUGACUUUUUUUUUUUCAUAUUCUAAAGAGAAAAUAAAUUAAUGUGACUUUUUUUUUAUAUAUUAUACAAAAGUUGGGUGAUGAUAUUUUUUUUUUCAUUUUAUGUUGGGUUGAAUUUCCUUAUUAAAGCAUGUUUGUUUUUGUGUUUCAAAAAUACUUUUUAAAAAAAUUGAUUUUUUUUUAUUGUUUUCCUUACUUUAAAUUCAUAUUUUGUAUUGUUUUAUAUAAAUAUAUAUUGAGAUUGGGUCUGGUUGUGCAACCAGACCCGAUGAGAAUAUAUUAAGUUAGGUCCUACCCAAUAGGACCCAUUUGAGUUGGGUCUUGCCCCAGAUGUACCCAAAAUAGCAAUGGGUCUAGUCACGGUUCCAAGGUGAAAUGGGACUUGACGCAGGACCUAAGUAAAAUGGGUUCUGAUGCAGGACUCAAGCCAAGUGACUCAUGACGUAGGAUCCAAGAGACUUGAGUUCUAGUGAGGACCCAAAUGAAAUGGGUCCUGAUGCAGGACCCAAGAGCAUUGGGUCCUGACACCGGACUCAACAGAAUAGGGUCGGAUGCAUGACACAAUACCAAUUGGUUCUGUGUCUGGAGUACCUAAGAGAAUUAUAAUAAAAAUAAUAAUAUUUAUAACACAAAUAAUUAUAUUUUUUUAUAUGAAUACUUUGAGUUAUAAUAAUAAUAUUUUUAACAAAAAUUAUAAUAUUUUUUAUAUGAAUACUUUGAGUUAUAAUAAAAGUAAUAAUAUUUAUAACACAAAUAAUAAUAUUUUUGAUAUGCAAGACCCAAGGCCAAUUGGUUCUGUGUGUGGAGCACCUAAAAUAAUUAUAAUAAAAAUAAUAAUAUUUAUAGCAUAAAUAAUAACAUUUUUUAUAUUAAUACCUUGAAUUAUAAUAAAAAAUAAUAAUUUUUUAAACACAAAUUAUAAUAUUUUUGAUAUGAAUACUUUGAGUUAUAAUAAAAAUUAUAAUAUUUAUAACACAAAUAAUUAUAUAUUUUGAGAUGAAUACUUUGAAUUAUAAGAAAAAUAAUAAUAUUUAUAAUAUAAUAAUUAUAUUAAUAAACCCAAGACCCAAGAACCUUGGGUCCUGACAAAGGACCUAAGAGACUUGGUUCUGGAUGCAAAACCCAAGCAAAAUGGAUUUUAACCAGGACCCAUGAGUAAUGGGUCUUGACGCUGGACCCAACAACAUUGGAUCCUGAUGCAGGACCCAAGGCUAAGGUGUCUCUAGCAGGUCUUUAGACUCGUUUGCCUGUGUCUGCAGCCAUGGGUGUGAGUUUGGCCCUAGCACCUAGUGCAGCCCCAACACCUAGUGCAGCCCCAACACCAUGUGUCUUUAGACCCGCUCGUUUGCGUCUGCAACCAUGCAUGUGGGUCUGGCCCUAGCGCCCAUGGUAGCCCUAGCGCCCAUGGUAGCCCCAGCACCAUGUGUCUGUAGAUUGUGGCCUGCAGCCCCACUUGGCGCAUGGGCACCUAUAGCUUGCCUGCCCCAAUGCCAGAUGUCUGCAGUCCGGGGCUUGCAACCUUACCAAAACUAAGCUGAUCAUUUUCUCCCCAACCAUCGCUUCAUUGCCAUGUACAUCCUAGUGAAAAGACAACCCCACCAUCCCACUGCAGUCUUUCCAACUCUCUGUGCUAAGGACAGCUCUGCCGUUACAUUGCUCCAAUCCAUAGUGCUUUGUGUCUAUGUAAAUAGUAAUAGGGGCAUUGAUCCCUUUUAGUAUAUUGUAUAAUUUAUUAUGUUUGCUCUGUCAAAUCAUAUUUGUUCCUAAUACCAUAGUCAUUGAUUCUUUGAAUAAAAUUUUGAAACUCUUUUCAAAUCUCAUUUCACCUUGCAUAAUAAUUUCACAAUCAAUACUAUUUGAGAACAAAUAAAAUAUUUUUUUUCUUAUUUAACUAAGGUGAUGGGUCCUCUUUUAAUCACUAAACACCUAUAUAUAAUUCAUGUUAUAUUCAAUAUCUUCCCAUUUGUUACCCUUUAUUUAGAAGACAUGCAGUCAGGAUCAAAGUAUAGUAUUUUCUAUAUAAGAUAGCUAAGUGAUCUCAAGUCUAAAAAUGAUUUACAGAAUUCUCACGUGAGCCUUUCAAUAGACACAAGUGAUUUCUUUAUAUGAAAUUCUCAUGUGGGACAAUUUAGUGUAAGUGUUAUCAAACAAGCAUCUACAUAUUAUUUUCAGGUAUCCCUUAUACCAUAACUUAUAAAUAACUGCUCUUUUUCAUAAAGAAAAGAACAUAAUAUGUAUUAAUCUUAAUGACUCUAAUUAAUAUCUAAUUUUAAUAGAGCAUCAACCAUGAAUAUUUAGGUAGUGUUUGGUUGUUAUUGUUUUAGGAUUAAGGCAACAAUAACAUCAAGGGGAGUGAAUUAAGUGUUGCACUAAUUAUGUUAAAUAAUGCAAAUAAGCACAUUAAGCACAUAUAACGCAAUAACUAAUAAUAUAAUUGAAGUGCUUGAAGUAAAGAGAUAAGGAAAUAGAUAUUGUAAACUCGGUUUUUAACAUGGUUCGACUAGCCUAUAUCCAUACAUCAAGUACCAACCAUACUUGGGUAUUGUACUCUUUUACUAAUCCAAGUGAAAGAUACGAUACCAUUGAUGAAUCCAUACCAAGCAAUUACAUCACUUGAAGAUGUUCCCUCUUCAAGAUUUUUCUCUUGGUGACAAUACCUCACUAAUGCCAAGAGUUUAUUCAAACUCUCAAUGCAUGAUUAAAUAUGAUUUUGUAGCCUUUAUCAUAUAAUUGACUAAUACUUUGGAAAUUAUGUUUUAGAUUUUCACAAGAAACACCUUUUCUAUUGAGGGAGAAGAUUUACCUCUAAUAGUGUUAACUCCAAUGACCUUUCCUUUUAAGUUGUCUCCAGAUGUGACUUGAAAACAUUGAUCUUGCUUAUGCUUGAAAACAAUGAAUCAUCUUUGGUUAUAUGUCUUCAGCAAGCACUAUUCAAGGACUAUAAAUGCAAUGUGCUCCUCCACUUCAUCAUCAUUAUCAUCAUCAACAUGGCAUAUGAUUUUGAAUGCCAAAUUUUUACUUGGCUUCUCUUCUAGUCCUUGCUUUUCUAUGGUUAUUUUAUGAGUUAUUAGUGAACCAAUGAGCUUUUCCAAUGGAAGUUUGGUGAGAUCUUGAACUUCUCAAAUUGCCAUCACCUUUUCUUCCUAAGACUUUGGCAAGGACCUAAGAACUUUGCUCAUAAUAUCAACAUUAGUUUAAGUCCUACCAAGAGCAUCUAAACUAUUAGUGAUAGUUGUCAUUAUGGUAAAUCUACUAGUUAUAGAUUCAUUUGGAAGCAUUUUGAAUAACUCAUAUUAAUGUACAAGCAUAUCAAUUUUGAAUUCUUUAACUUGAUUAAUACUUUUAUGAGUUACUUCUAAAGCAUGUCAUAUAUCCCUAGCAUUUUUACAAGAUUAUAUUCUAUUAAACUCACUUCUACUUAAAGCAUAUUACAAGGUGUUCAUAGCUUUAACAUCCAUAGAAAACAACUUCUUAUCACUGUUGGUAGACUCACUUCUAGGUUUAUAAAUUUCCAUAUCAUUUUUAAUUUUAGUAGGCUUGUGAGGUUCAUUUUCAAUAGAUAGCUAUAAAUCAUAAUCAAUAGAUUUAAGAUAUAUAAUCAUCCCAAUAGACAUAAUCAUUGCUAUCAAAGAAGGGUGGCCUAGAGGUAGAUGCUCCAUUUUGAACAUUAUAGCUAGUGGUUGCUAUUCUAUUCAAGUCUAAGCAAACUUAUAUAUAUAUAUAUAUAUAUAUAUAUAUAUAUAUAUAUAUAUAUAUAUAUUAGAACUAAGUUUUGAUACCAAUUGUUGUUCUAGGAUUAAGGCAACAAUAACAGUUAAGAGGGUUGAAUUAGGUGUUGCACUAAUUAUAUCAAAUAAUGUAAAUAAACACAUUGAGCACAUAUAACAUAAUAACCAACAAUAUAAUUAAAGUGCUUAAAGUAAAGAGAUAAGAAAAGAGAUUGCAAACUCGGUUUUUAACAUGGUUCAACAAGCCUACAUCCACACCCCAAGAAUCAACCAUACUUAGGUAUUGUACUAUUUUACCAAUCCAAGUGAAAGAUACAAUGAUCUUAAUAAAUCCACACUAAGCAAUUACACCACUUGAAGAUGUUCCCUCUUUAAGAUUUUUCUCUUGGUGACAAUACCUUACUAAUGCCAAGAGUUUAUCCAAACUCAUAAGUGUUUAUAAUUAUGAUUUUUUUACAACAAGAUUAACUCUUUCAAAGAGUAGAUUAUACAAUUGAAAUCUAAAAUCUUUAUAACUCACUCAAUAAUACUUAGAAUGAUUGAAAGUGUGUAAGGGUAAUGAGUGUGAGAUUUUAUACUCCUGUGCUAGAAGAUAAAUAUUUAAUAAAGCAUAACUUGUAGUAUGUUACGAUUGAUGAUUUCUAGUUGAUUUUUAUUUUGGAAUAGCUUUUAUAUCAUGUAAGUUCAAAAUCUCUCUUUAAUUUUGCAUAAAAGAGAGCUAUAUAUACAUUUCUAAAAAAAACUAGUUAUUUAUAGCUAUUGGAAUGCCUCUGAUGACUAAAGUUGUCGAUUGGCACCAUAUCAUUUGAUUGACCAAUUCCUACAAAAUUCUCAGGUAUUCAUCAUGGAAAGCGGUCGAUUAAUUCAAUUUAAAACCUAUUUUUGAAAUUUUAAACUUGAAUUGAUUAAAUGUAUGUCAAUCUUAUUUAUGCAAGUAAUGGAAAAUGUGUGAGUCCAUUUUAGUUUGUUAUUGAGUAAGAUAUAAAGAUUUAACAAUAAGCAUUAAAAUGAAUCCUUAAGAAAUAAGUUCACUUUCUUUGCAUCUUGGACUUGUUGAUGGAUUUCUUAAUUCAAUUACUUAUACUUGUUGAUGUGAUAUUCAUAUAGACAUGUUUGAACUUAAUCUCAUUCAAGCAUAUCAUUAGUCCAUUUUCAAUGAAUUGUUAUAAUCAAAAUACAUAAAAUAUUAACAUUGUCCCCAAUGGAAUUGUCAUUUCGUCGCACAUAGAGGCACGAUGAUGAUGGGUUGUGAGAUUCCCCAUAUAGUUGUUUGGUUUAGAGUCGUUAGAAAACCCAAAAUCUUCGAUCCACACCGGAAUCAGAAUUAUUAAAACCACACAGAACGACCGCAACUUAUUGAAUGGAAAUAAUAUGGCUGAUUCCUUUGAGAAGUAGCAACUUGUUGGUGCUAAAGAAGAAGAGAAUGACGAGCGCCUCCUAAGAUUGAUUGUCUGGCUUAUUGGAAGCCGAACUAUCUGUAAAAAAAAAUAGAAGGGACAAGUAUGGUUUUUAUAGCCGCUUACUCUGAUGAGAGGACUCUUGCUUGAUUACAAAGGAUACACAUGGUAACGCCAAAAGAAAGAGAAACAACAAAUUUCCUAUAAUGUUAAAAUGGCAAACAAUAUUUCCUAACUUUUACUCAUGAUUUGUUGCUUCUAGCAUAUUCCUAUUGUAUUAGUCUUUGCUCUCAAUUGGUUAACAACACAAGGAAUUAUAUAGGAAAGAACAUUUGAACGGGAAUGAAGAAAAUAAUUCAUCAACCAAUAUGAGUGCACACAUAUCAAGAGAAGGAAGAGAAAAGGAAUCAAAAUCUCUUGAGAUUGGUCCAUAAAUUUUUAAUUUUGACUAUCAUAUUUUAUUUCACAAUAAGAUUUAUUUAUUUAUUAUGAAAAUAUAAUAUGAUCAAAUAAAUUUUAGUCGGAAAUAUAAAACCAUCUCAACUAUAUUUUUUGAGACAUGCCCACUUGUUUCGAAAGUAAGUGAACUUAUCUCAAGAGAGCAUCUGUAGAAACACAAAUUUUCUACCAAUCAAAUUUCAUCAUGUGUUAUUUUAUUUUUUAAAAAAGAAAGAAUAAAAUAAAAUUAAAAUAUAUGACAUGAAAAAUAAAUGAGCUUUCAUAUAUUUUUUGGCUAAUGAAAAGUUGACACUUGGGAUAAAAUAUUCAAGAUAUCUUGUCAUAAAUGCAAGAUCCUGUCAAUAAAUAUUAACCAAUAAAAUUAUGCCAUGUGGCAUUGGAAAAGGACAUGAGAGCUCCUACAGAUCUCUAUAAAUAGAAGCCUCAACCUAGAGAGAGAACAAAAAACAAAAAGAGGAUUCUAAGAGCUACAAAUUUCCUUUAAGACAAGCUCUUCAAGCAAGGAAGCUCUUUCAAAAGUUCUCAAGCCUCCUUCAUCUACGCUUGAAAUCUAUAAAAAAUGAAGCUCUGUUGGAUUAAGCUUAAACUCCCUAUAAGAGUUUUUUAAUAACACUUUGAAGACAAAUCAAAAGUACUCUUUAAAGCAUCAAAUCAUUAAAUCUCGCUUCGCAAUACAUGCUCAAAUUUGUGUUCUUACGAAGCAUAAAUCUUAGCUUGAUUUCUCAAAUAAAUCAAGUCACCAUACAUCAAAUCCAAGGAAAGAAUCAAAUGAUUGUUUUAUUCUUUUGAAAAAAAUACUUAUAUAGAGAUUGUACCCGGUCAUAUAUUUAAUAAAAUCAUAUAUUUGUAUACGUGUGCUUGUUUAAUUUAAUGUGAUUAAAAUUGUGUCUACAUAAUUAUUUUAUUUAAAUGAUGUGAAAUUAUAAAUAAAUUAAUAAAUUUACAAGAGAAAAAUUAUAUUUUGUGAAUGUUUAUAUAUUGGGAGCUUGCAUAUGUUACAAAAGAAAAAAUAAAUGUUUUAAAGUCUAGGUAAAGUUGUUAUGUGAACUUGGCAAGAAUAUGAACUUUGAGUUAAAUACUAGUAAUGUUAAAUAACAAAUUAUUUUGUUUCAGUUUAAUUGUUUUAAAAAAUAUAUUGACACAUAAUUAAAUAAAGAUGUUAUAUAACAUAUUAUGUUGCGAGAUUAUAUUUUUUUUUCCACGCUUUAAAAGUAAUUGAAUUGAUUUUUGAUCCGGUAAGGAGGGUAGCACGGACACUGGAACUAGUGAAAGAAAGCUGCAGGGAAUUUAUCAAACCAGAAUCAUAAAUAGCGAACAUCUUCAUACUACUAUUAGAACAAACACAAGGAAAACAAGAUAGAUUGACACAAACUCCUUCGUGCCAUCAAUCUUAGAAACAGGAAAGGAAAAGCCAGACGAGCAUAGAUAGGUAUAGAUAAAUAGAUAGAUCGACAGUACUCAAACUAGACAUUUGAAGCAAUUUUGUCCAUGAUGUGUGCCAGGACAUUGUUGGACUCCCUCAGCAACUUGAUGCUCACAUUCAGCUUCUCACGCUUAGCAGCUACCGCUGGAGAUUCCUCUAACAUUCUUUCUAUCGCACCAUCAUGUCUACCGACAAGCUCCUGGAAGAUCUCCUCUUCCAUUUCCUUGUUCACAAGAUUUCGAAGACAGAACUGCAAAUGCAGAGCCAUAAAAUCAACCAACCUCCUCAAAACAAUUUUCCAGUAAGCAGUCAUUCUCAUUUUCAAGUCGAAAGCUUGAAGCAAUACAUGCUCCUCAUACCCCCUGAGACCUGCAAUUGGAACCUCUCCCAAACCUUCGAUCUUGAAUGUAGCAACGUCCCCAUCUUCCAGGACAUCACGCGUGAAAUCAUGCUGUUGAGACAUGAGUUUGUUCCAGUCAUUCAUGUAUUCAGGAUUGCAUGUAUAAUCUGUCAGUUUCUCCAUUUGAACAAUCUCUGUGACCCAAUUUCUAGAAUGCUCUUUCAUUCUUGCUAUGAGACUAUGGCCUGCUCGUCGAGUGGAGAGCUGAAGCUGGUGGUAGUUUUCCGAGUGAUGAAUCAAAACAGAUAUGACCACACCUUCAAUGUAAGUCCAUACUUUCUCAACAAAGGCAACCGGUAUGUGCGAUACCUUUGCAACCUUUUUCUGCAGAAUAGAAAGGAAGGUGGUGCGGGGAAGGAAAUUUGGCAAUUCAAUCCCUUUGGCUUCCCCCAAAACCUGAAUCUCGUCCAUCAGAAAGUUCCCUGCAAGGUCAUUUUCAGAGCAAUUAUGAAGUUCACCUGAGUAUUGGUUGAGCAUUUCAACCAAUCUGGCAGUGCAAUGCAUAUUUUUAUCUUCUAGAUACUCAUCAUACUCUCCUCUCACAAUGAUCUUGUUUAGCGACUCUUUGGCGGAUCCAACAAUGCCCAUGAAAGUUGUGAGGGCUUCACCAACCGAGGACAAAGUCUUAGGCAUCCUGUUCAGUUCCGAGAUACUUGCAUUCAGCUUUUCGUUAAUCUUCCUCACUAUCUCUGGCAAGCAUCUUGCUAUAAUAGUUGCUUGAAUUUGAACCAGUUUUUGAGCCAGAACUGGGAUGCCCACCAUGGAUUUAUCAAUCUUGGAUAGAAGAGGAUGAGUUUCAAACAAGUCAGCUUCUUCCUUGCGUGCUUCCUUGUAAGAUUCAUCACCAAUACGAUUUCUCACACAGACAUAACCCAGACCUAUAUUCACAUCAUCAGCCGUAACCUUCUCAAGCAGUCCUUCUGGAGCUCUGUCUGCUUUGGUGACCACGGCGAGAGUCCUCUCACCAUUCUUAUCCACUUUCUGUGACAUCCUAAUAGAUUCACAAGUGGUAAAAUCAACAGUUGCAGACAAAACAUUAAGUAUAAUACUCUCUUCAGGCCUUAUGUACUCCAUAAUGAUAUCCGCUAUCUGCUCAUAGAUGUUUUCAGGCUGACCGUGGACAGGAACUCUAGUGAUUCCAGGGAGAUCAACCAUUGUAAGGUCCGGAACGCCAUUCUUUUUCACUACCAAAGUCAAUGGCGUGUUCGAUAUGCCCUUAGCACUGCCUGCAAUCUCAUCAGUGGCAAGACUUAUGGCAUUGGCGAUUUUGGCUUCACUGGUAGGUACUGUUUUGCCAUUGAACUCCAAGGAAAGCUCUGGUUCUGGAGCUGUGUGAUGUUGCAACCUCAUUAUGAGAGGUACUCUGGUGCAGAUGCCCUGGCCACGAGGGAGGCUGAUACCAGCUAGUGAUUCAAGAACACUAGAUUUCCCUGAAGAUUGAUCACCAACAACAACAAUGGUGGGGAGUUGUAUGCCUUCUUUCAUGACCUGGAGAUGCCUCAGCUUGUCAACGGCAUCAAGUAGAGGUCGAAUACGUUCAUUGAAUGAUGAUACGAUGGGGACAUGGCUGACUACCAGCUCUUGAUGCUUUUCUUCAAUGCUCUGUGGAAGUGAUUCCACUUGGUUUUCCGAGCUAUUCGACAUUUCUUCACUCACUG